GACGAACGCUGGCGGCGUGCCUAAUACAUGCAAGUAGAACGCAGUUGCGAACGGGUGAGUAACGCGUAGGUAACUGCAUCAUAGCGGGGGAACACCAUAGGAAACGAUAUCUCAUACACCAUCCUGUGAGAUGGACCUGCGUUGUCUUAGCUAGUUGGUGAGGUAAAGGCACACCACGGCGACGAUACAUAGUCGGACCGAGAGGGUUGUCGGACACACGUGUACUGAGACAAGGACCAGACGUCGACGGGAGGCAGCAGUAGGGAAUCUUCGGCAAGUGACGGAAGUCUGACCGAGCAACACCGGGUUAUGGAAUAAGGUUUUAGGAUCCUAAAGCUAUGUUGGUCGGGAAGCGGUAACUACCCAGAAAGGGACGGCUAACUACGUGCCAGCAGCCGCGGUAAUAC
rnacentral:rRNA from 1 species